UUUAAGCUUAAGUGUCCCACUUCCCCCUAAAUCUUAGAAAAUGGUUCUUCAGGGGUUCUUUAAGGAUUCAUUGGAUAAUUAAGGGUUCUACUUGGAACCCUUUCAAGGCAGGGAACACUCUUUUGCCCCAGAGGGACAAAAUGAAGGGUUGCAGAUUUCCUAAGAGAAUAGUGUAUUUUGCAGCAAACUCUGCACACGGAGCCUCAUGCGGAGAUUUGACUCCCGCUGUCGUUACGCACCCAUCACUCGAGCCUAACGUAAUAAGCGUUAUAGGCACGCGCUCUGGUAUGACGUACGUCUUCUAAGAGCGCUUCCGGAUCAGCUGCCCCCCGCCGCGCCACCGUCAACCAGUGAACUCCACCGCGCUUGAUUUGAUACGUCUAUGAAAGGAGAUACCGCUACCUUGGGACGGGACGGGGGGAGUUGUCGAACAAAAUAAUCUAAAAAAGAAGAAGAAGAAGAAGAAGAAGAAGAAGAACCAAACUGUCAAACAUAGAUUCCUCUGAAAAGGGAAGCACCCAAGACUGAAUAUAGACAAAUAUUUUACUUUUCAAUGUUUCGUGUAUUAAUGAGAUUCAGCAAAAAAAUUGUGAUUUUUACUUUAUAUGAGAUUUCUUAAAUUAUCAUGUCACAAAAUAAAGUUUAAUUUUGGUAAGAACAAAUGUUACUUCAUCAUGCAUUACAUGAUUUACAAGUUGGUAAACAUUAGAGCUAAAAUAACAAUGUCUGCAUAUGUGACUAAUACACAUGAAUUUUGUCCUCAAUCCUACAUCGUCAUUGUUUCCUUUAAAGACGAGGACUCCUUAGGAAAAGCUUCAUCGAAACUGGACAGAUCUACAGUGAGGUCAUUCCUGAGAAAGUGGGGUUGUUGUCAUACAAAACCCCUCAUUCAGUAAAGACGGAUGCCACAUCAUGUGAAGUAUUUGUGCUAAAAGUUUUUAUUGUUUGUAAUAUUGGUCCGUAA